UACGUAGGGUGCGAGCGUUGUCCGGAAUUAUUGGGCGUAAAGAGCUCGUAGGCGGUUUGUUGCGUCUAUCGUGAAAACCUGCGGCUUAACUGUGGGCUUGCGGUGGAUACGGGCAGACUUGAGUUCGGUAGGGGAGACUGGAAUUCCUGGUGUAGCGGUGAAAUGCGCAGAUAUCAGGAGGAACACCGAUGGCGAAGGCGGGAUCCUGGGCCAGUACUGACGCUGAGGAGCGAAAGCGUGGGGAGCAAACAGGG
rnacentral:rRNA from 1 species